rnacentral:rRNA from 1 species
AAUGAACGCUGGCGGCGUGCCUUAGACAUGCAAGUCGAACGCGAAAGUGACCUUCGGGUCGCGAGUAGAGUGGCGAACGGGUGAGUAACACGUGGGCAACCUGCCCUGGAGUGGGGAACAACUUGGGGAAACUCGAGCUAAUACCGCAUACGUUCUAGGAGCUUCGGCUCUUAGAGGAAAGACAGCCUCUUCUUGAAAGCUGUCGCUCUUGGAGGGGCCCACGCCCGAUUAGCUUGUUGGUGGGGUAACGGCCUACCAAGGCUGCGAUCGGUAGCCGGCCUGAGAGGGUGAACGGCCACAUUGGGACUGAGACACGGCCCAGACUCCUACGGGAGGCAGCAGUGGGGAAUUUUGGGCAAUGGGCGCAAGCCUGACCCAGCGACGCCGCGUGGAGGAUGAAGGCCUUCGGGUUGUAAACUCCUGUCAGGUGGGAAGAAAUGCCCGUCGGUGAAUAGCUGACGGGAGUUGACGGUACCACCAAAGGAAGCCCCGGCUAACUCCGUG